ensembl:lncRNA
CAGAGGUUUACAGCAGCUGACAGUUGCAACUUCAUCGAUACUAACUCAAACUGACUUGGUUUAAAUAAAGACAAUAUUUGUAAAGAUAAAAACGUAUAAGUGUAAGUAUGUCUAAGUAUUUCUGAACAAUAGUAAAUUCUGAAGGACAGAGUAUGUGAAUUAAUACCAGAAAGUAUAUAUUACUAGUUAGUAGAACUGCUACUUGAGCUGAGUUGCUGACAGACAGCAGUUUUCAAAGUGUAAACUAAUCAGUAGACCCACAUGUUAUCAGUAACACGUCUGGUAAAGAUGGUGGAGGAGCUUUUCAAUGAUAUGGUUUUAUGUUUAUCUCAGGGUUUCUCCAUCCUUUUGUUCUUACCAGCACUUACACACCUGAUUCAACUAAUCAUCACAUAUUUUAAGACAGUUUAAUAUUUGAGGCAUACAAAUGAACAUUCUCAAAUUAAAACCUUUUGGAUUUGGUAAACCUGUUAACAAUUAUUAAAGGCCUACAGUAAUGUAAGAGAGACGUCUCGAAGAAGGACUAUACAUUUUUUUGAAGCAAGAUGCGGCACAAUGUCAUGAUUUACUGCUGUCGCAUGAAGCUGACUGUUAGCGCCACCCUCUGGUUACUGUUGUUAUGUGAAGGGGUGACGCCUUGACUGCAGUUGAAAUUGAAAACAGAAAGUAUCUGUACAGGGCCAUUUUGAGAUGACAGAGCAGCUCAUAGUUGAAUCUCUAAACUGCAACGCAGUUUCACAGUAAAGUGAGUAUUUCAGGUUAAUAAUCUAGAAUAAAGUAGAGGGAACAUGUGGAAUACAGUAAACUAGUGUCUGAGUGCUGCUGAGUCAUUCUUCUGUCUUUCAGGUUAAUAAUCUAGAAUAAAGUAGAGGGGACAUGUGGAAUACAGUAAACUAGUGUCUGAGUGCUGCUGAGUCAUUCCUACCAUGUGGUGCCUUUUCUGUCCCCAGGAAAUAUCAGUUCUUAUUUAGUGAAAGCUGAAAUAAAUCAUUCUCUCUACUAUUAUUCUGACAUUUCACAUUCUUUAAAAUAAAGUGGUGAUCCUAACUGACCUAAAACAAGGACUUUUUACGAGGAUUAAAUGUCAGGAAUUGUGAAAAACUGAGUUUAAAUGUAUUUGGCUCAGGUGUAUGUAC